UAUUGAAACACCGGUUCCCGUACGAUCAUCGAAGUUAAGCAACAUCAAGCCUGAUCAGUAUCUAGAUGGGUAACCGUUUGGGAAUAAUAGGUACUGUAAG